AGUGAACGCUGGCGGUAGGCCUAACACAUGCAAGUCGAACGGCAGCACAGGAGGGCUUGCUCUCUGGGAGGCGAGUGGCGGACGGGUGAGGAAUACAUCGGAAUCUACUCUGUCGUGGGGGAUAACGUAGGGAAACUUACGCUAAUACCGCAUACGACCUACGGGUGAAAGCAGGGGAUCUUCGGACCUUGCGCGAUUGAAUGAGCCGAUGUCGGAUUAGCUAGUUGGCGGGGUAAAGGCCCACCAAGGCGACGAUCCGUAGCUGGUCUGAGAGGAUGAUCAGCCACACUGGAACUGAGACACGGUCCAGACUCCUACGGGAGGCAGCAGUGGGGAAUAUUGGACAAUGGGCGCAAGCCUGAUCCAGCCAUACCGCGUGGGUGAAGAAGGCCUUCGGGUUGUAAAGCCCUUUUGUUGGGAAAGAAAUCCAGCCGGCUAAUACCUGGUUGGGAUGACGGUACCCAAAGAAUAAGCACCGGCUAACUUCGUGCCAGCCGCCGCGGUAAUAC
rnacentral:rRNA from 1 species